GCUAGUAACCGCAGGUCAGCACACUGCGGUGAAUACGUUCCCGGGCCUUGUACACACCGCCCGUCACGUCAUGGAAGUUGGCAACACUUGAAGUCAUUGGGUGAACCUCUUUGAGGACACAGAUGCCGAAAGUGGGGCUGAUGACUGGGACGAAGUCGUAACAAGGUAGCUGUACCGGAAGGUGCGGCUGGAUCACCUCCUUUUAUGGAG
rnacentral:rRNA from 1 species